AGGGACAAAUUGCUCUCUGGAAG
rnacentral:miRNA from 1 species